GGUAAGAGACGCUACUUCGGAUAAUCUGCAGCCGGUGAGGAUGUGGCAAAGCGGAGGGUCUGGUGGAGUCUGCGGGCGGACGGGGAAGGUUUCUAAACUCCUGGGGAAGGUCUUAGUGUCGAUCCGGGACUUUCAGGUCCCGUGUUUCACAGCCCCGGGGUGUUUCCCCGGAACCAGGCACCGGUCCACGGCCGAAAUUUUGUACCCGGGGUGAGCAGGACGCAUGCGCCGACUAUUAGGUAACGUCACAGAGGGUAUGGGGUUCUCGGAAGCUUCACACGUUUCCAGCCUGAAUCUCGGAGGAUUCCCUGGGCCAUGUAGCUACUCAGUGGGAAAGGCUGGAAUCCGGAUGCGUCCUUGAGCCAUGUAACUAUUCACUGGAGUGACUUGCAAUCCACAGGAAUCCUGGGCCGCGUAGCUAUCCUGUGCCAGGGGCUACAGUUCGGAGGAGCCCCUGGACAAUUUCCUGAAGGAACUGCUCUUCAGGGAGAUUGUAACAUUUGAUUUGCAAAUGGGAGACUCAAAGCAAACAUCAAAUCAAGAACUGACAGAGUCACUCGAUUCUUCAGGACCUGGGAAUCAUCGGCUUUUGAAUGUGGGAAGAGAAAUGCUUGCUGUUUUAUUUAUGGAAAACAAUUUCAAACAUCAGUGUGACUGAGGGGCAAAAAGAACACACCCAAAUGAGACUGUUCUAGUGAAUUGACUCUGGAAUGAGCUCUAACCAGUUGCAAAGCCUGGAAAAACACCACACCAUUCACAGCAGCGAGCAACCUUACACUUGUUUGACUUGAUGAGGCUACAGCUGUGGAGAGGCGCAAGGACAUGUGCACCAUGGAGAAACCGUGGAAGUGCGGCGACUGUGGGAAGGGAUUCAGAACUCCGUCCAAGCUGGAAACUCACCGACACAUUCACACAGGGGAGAGGCUGUUCACCUGCUCCGAGUGCGGGAAGGAAUUCACUUACUCAUUCAAAUUGCUGACACACCAGCACCUUCAUUCAGGAGAGAGGCCAUUCACCUGCUCCGAGUGCGGGAAGGGAUUCACUCAGUCAUCCACCCUGCUGACACACCAGCGAAUUCACACUGACGAACGACCUUUUAAAUGUUCAGACUGUGCGAAGUGCUUUAAAAGUUCCAGAGAACUGAUGUCCCAUCAGUGCGAACACACUGACGAGAGACCGUUCAGGUGCUCUCACUGCAGGACUGGCUUCAGGAGGUCGUCCCACCUGUUGAGACACCAGAGGGUUCACACUGGGGGAGACCGUUCUGCUGCUCCAAGUGUGGGAAGGGAUUCACUCGCUCAUCCUCCUUGCUGAAGCACCAGCGGGUUCACGACUGACUCCAGGGAUUGAAUGCUGCUGUUUUUUCUCCUGCUGUUCAUCACAUCCAGCAGUGAAGGUGAGGGUUCAUCCUGACGUGGUGGAAAAAAACUGUGUACCAGCCGUGCUCUUCUAUGGUUCACAGUUCCUAGAUGCAGAACAUAAGCUCUUUUACAACUGGGUUUAGAGCCAGCAAGAACAACAGGGAAUGCUGCAAUUGAGCUGUGUCACAUCAGAGGUUGGGGUCAAACCGGGAUCUGGUCUUGACUGAAAGUUAAAUGGCAGGUUUAAGUUUCCAGCCUGAUAAUGACUGUGGUCAUUGUAGUCUGAGGAUUUAGAAUAUUUGUGUAAUAUUUCUGAUUCUGUCAAUGUAAGGCAAUAACAACAACAACUUGUGUUUACAUAGAACUUUUCACCCAGUAAAACCUCCUAAAGUGCUUCACAGGUGAUCAGAAGCUUGGUCAAAGACACCAAUUUUAGAAAGUAUCUUAAGGAAGGAGAGAGAGGUUUAGAGAGGUAUCUUCAGAGAUCGGGGUACCAGCAGAUGAAGGGAUGGUCAGCAAUGGUGGAGUGAUGUAGGUGAUAGGUAGGAAGGGGUCAGAGUUGGAGGGACACAGGGAACUCAAGAGUGUUGUAGGACUGGAAGAGGUUCCAUAAACCGUCAUUGCAGAGAGUGGUUGACUCCAUGGAUCUUCAGGCAUGGCUCUGAAAUGGGUCCCCGGAGGUCAUGGCCAUGGCUGUGCUGGAGAUGUCUGCUGCCUUAAACAGGAUGACAGAUACUGUCUCUGAGGCCUUCCGACAUGUCAUUGAUUAGCCACAAGCUGGUUUGCUGUGGAGUGGGUGACACUGGACCAGGAGAGGAAUGAUGGAGAGAGGGGACAGAGAAGUGAGAACUCUCUCUCAGCUUAAAGCUCACUCACUUCUUUAAUUUGAUUUAUUAUUGUCACAUGUAUCAGAAUACAGUGAAGAGUAUUAUUUUGCGUGCUAUCCAGUCAAAUCAAACCUCACAUAAGAAUAUAGUGUCACAGCUACAGAGAAGGUGCAGAGAAAGAUCAGCUCUAAUACAUGAGAGGUCCAUUCAUAAGUAUGUUAACAGCAGGGAAGAAGCUGUUCUUGGAUCUGUUGGUACGUGCUUUCAAACUUUUGUAUCUUCUGCCGAUGGAAGAGGGUAUAACUGGGCUGGGAGGGAUCUUCGAUUAUGUUCGCUGCUUUCCCGAAGCAGCGGGAAGUAUAGAUUGAAUCAAUGGAUGGAAGGCUUGUGUGAUGAACUGGACUGCAUUCGUAACUCUCUGUAAUUUCUUGAGAUCUUGGCCUGAGCGAUUGCAUCACAGCUUAGUAUGGCAUUCUGGAUGCUUUCUAAUCCUUUACUCCACAACCCCUAAGCAGUAUAUUUCUUACCUCUUGACUUUCUAUGUUCUGCCACAUUCGGGGUGAGUUUACCCCUGCGCGUGUACAGCUGGCACAGAUUUUUCUCCUUGGUAGCUCAGAAACUGAGUGGAGACCAGACUAUCCAGCACUACAUGUGCUGAAUCCACACAAGAUAGGUAAAAGGUAGAGGACGAAGGCUAGAAAUUGUCACUGUUCAACUAAAUAUAAAGUUUUUUUACAAGUAACUAAUGCAGAAAAUAAAUGGGUUUGAACCACUUCCAUCCCUUGUCCAUUUUCACAGCUGGAGGGUCAUCUCACCCUGUCAUGAGUUUCAUGCUGUAAAUUGGUAAGUUUAUCUUUGAUUAACUGUUUGGACAUGUUCUGACACACCUCUGGGCUAAGUGUGACAUGAAGCCUAGCAUUCUGGCACGGAGGUAGGGACAGUACUCUCGCACCACAAGACCCUUGGACCUUGCUGCAAGAUUAUGUCACUAACGGGAUGAUGGUUAACUUAUAUGGGAGGAAUAGUUAGUAAGUUUGCGGAUGAUGCCAAAAUUGGUGGUGUAGUGAAGAAGGUUAUCUCAGAGCCCAACGGGACCUUGAUCAGAUGGGCAAAUGGGCUGAGGAGUGGCAGAUGGAGUUUAAAUAAAUGGCGAGGCAAAUCGGGGCAGGACUUAUACACUUGAUGGUAGGGUCCUGGAGAGUGUUGCCGAACAAAGAGACCUUGGGGUGCAGCUUCAUAGUUCCUCCAAGAUGGAGUUGCAGGUAAACAGGGUAGUGAAGAAGGCAUUUGGCACGCUUGCCUUUAUUGGUCAGUGCUUUGAGUAUAGGAGCUGGGAGGUCAUGUUGCAGCUGGACAGGACAUUGGUUAGGCCACUUUUGGAAUACUGCAUUCAAUUCUGGUCUCCCUGCUGUGGGAAAGAUGUUAGUAAACUUGAACGGGUUCAGAAAAGAUUUACAAGAUUUUGCUGGGGUUCGAGGGUUUGAUCUGUAGGGAGAGGCUGAAUAGGAUGGGGCUACUUUCCCUGGAGCGUUGGAGGCUGAGGGAUGACCUUACAGAGGUUUAUAAAAUCAUGAGUGGCAUGGAUAGGGUGAAUAGCCAAGGUCAUUUUCCUAGGUAGGGGAAGUCCAAAGCUGGAGUGCAUAGGUUUAAAAUAAGAGGAGAAAAAUUUACAAGGGACCUAAGAGGCAACUUUUUCUUACAGAGGGUGGUGCGUGUGUGGAACGAGCUGCCAGAGGAAGUGGUGGAGGCUGCUCCAACUGCAACAUUUAAGACACCUGGAUGGGUAUAUGAAUAGGAAGCGUUUACAGGGAUAUGGGCCAAAUGCUGGCAAAUGGGACAAGAUGAAUUUGGGAUAUCUGGUUGGCACAGACCAAAGGGUCUGUCUCCCUGCUAUACAACUCUAUGACUCAAUGUAACUUGAUUAUUCACUGCUGACAUCUAACUUCAUUAGAAAUUUGCCUUAAUUAGGGUGGGAGAGCUUAGGAACUAGGUACAGUAUAGAAAGGACUCUAUGACUCUUUGAGACAAAGGUAGAGGCAUCUUGGAAGUUCGUGUGAAGUUUUCAAAAGUUAAACCUGACUAAAAAAAAAUCUGUCUCUGAAGCUGCAUGUAUCAGUGAAUACAGGGACAGUAAUGAAAUUGGGCCCACAUACAUGCAAUACCAUGGCGCCCUUCAGCCCCAAUUUUAUUCACUUUAUGAUUGUGUUGUGGUUGUGUCUUUGGCUGUAUGAACCCUAACUCCUGGUGUUUCCUUGCUAAACCCCUCUGCCUUUCUAUUUCACUGAUCUAAUUAUACACUCCUGAUAACCCACACCUUUCCCCAGGUAUUUGAUCACCUGAUCUAAUAUGUUCUUAUAUUCCUGUGAAAUUCAUUGGGACAUUUUACUUUUAAAACUCCAUAUUAAUGUAGGGUUUUAUUGUAGUAGUUUAGACAGACCUGACCACUGAGUGAGUCUGUAUAAAUGUAACAUGGAUAGAAACAACUUGCAUCAUAGAUCAAUAUGAUCUGAUCCCUAAACAAGUGAGUGACUGAGUCUGUGUGGAUGUGACUCAGAUGGAGAGAGCUUGUGUCAUAGUUCAGUGAGAUCUGAUCACUGAGUGAGUUGGUCUGUAUAACUGUAACUCAUAUGGACAGACACGCUUGUUAGAGCAGACCUGGGAGAAAGAUGUGAAUUAACCACUGGACUUUCUGUUCUCCAAAAUUGGUAAAAGGUGAUUGUUUCCAAACAUUCAACAUUACUAACGAAAGUAAAUAAAGAUGAUUUGUUCUUGUGAGUUGCA